rnacentral:lncRNA from 1 species
AUAAGGUGGAGGUCAGCCCACGAAGCGCGGGGUAGCUAACCUAGUACGAAUUGUGCUUGUAGAUAUUUGUUUUCUGUUUGAAUUAGAGAUAGAAUUUUAGUCGGUUAAGAAGUUAUCUGUACGGGGCUAUAAAUAGCUACCUUUGUAAAUCUGUAAACACAACAAUCAAUCAAUACAACAAGUUACUUUCUUCUUCGUACUUACUUUCGAGCAGGCGACUUCGCCGUUAUUGUUUCUUCUCACGAGUUCGUGCGGGUUGGC